UGACAAUCCGUUGUUGGGACUGG
rnacentral:piRNA from 1 species